rnacentral:rRNA from 1 species
CUUCCGCAAUGGGCGAAAGCCUGAGGAGCACGCCGCGUGAGUGAUGACGUUUCGGCUCGUAAACUCUGUUAUUAGGGAAGACACAUGUGUAAGUAACUGUGCACGUCUUGACGGUACCUAAUCAGAAAGCCACGGCUAACUACGUGCCAGCAGCCGCGGUAAUACGUAGGUGGCA